UACGUAGGGGUCGAGCGUUGUCCGGACUUACUGGGCGUAAAGGGUGGGUAGGUGGUUUGGGAUGUGCCGUGUGAAAGCCCCGCGUUCAUCGCGGGGAGGUCGCGGUAGACACUCGAACUUGAGGCAUGGAGAGGGCGGUGGAAUUCCCGGUGUAGUGGUGAAAUGCGUAGAUAUCGGGAGGAACACCAGUGGCGCAAGCGGCCGCCUGGCCAUGACCUGACACUGAGCCACGACGGCGUGGGGAGCAAACGGG
rnacentral:rRNA from 1 species